rnacentral:rRNA from 1 species
UACGUAGGGGGCAAGCGUUGUCCGGAAUCAUUGGGCGUAAAGCGCGCGUAGGCGGCCCUGUAAGUCCGUUGUGAAAAUCAAAGGCUCAACCUUUGAAAGCCGAUGGAUACUGCAGGGCUAGAGUCCGGAAGAGGCGAGUGGAAUUCCUGGUGUAGCGGUGGAAUGCGCAGAUAUCAGGAGGAACACCGAUGGCGAAGGCAGUGGUCUGGGCCGGAACUGACGCUGAAUAGCGAAAGCGUGGGGAGCGAACAGG